rnacentral:rRNA from 1 species
AGAGAGAGACAUGCGCGCAUAUCAAUAAGCGGAGGAAAAGAAACUAACUAGGAUUCCCUCAGUAACGGCGAGUGAAGCGGGAAGAGCUCAAAUUUGAAAUCUUCAAGGUUCUACCUUGACGAAUUGUAGUUUAAAGAAGUGUUUUCUGUUGGAGUUUUGGUAAAAGUUCUUUGGAAUAGGACGUCAUAGAGGGUGAGAAUCCCGUAUUUGACCAUUAUUUCCAACUUUGUGAUACACUUUCAAAGAGUCGGAUUGUUUGGGAAUGCAGUCCAAAAUGGGUGGUAAAUUUCAUCUAAAGCUAAAUAUUGGCGAGAGACCGAUAGCGAACAAGUACCGUGAGGGAAAGAUGAAAAGAACUUCGAAAAGAGAGUUAAACAGUACGUGAAAUUGUCAAAAGGGAAGCGUUUGACACCAGUGUUGCUUUUCUGAAAAUCAAUUAAAGAACUGUUUAUGCUAAGUUGUUUAGACUUUAUCAGCUAACUGUUUAGUUUUGAGCUUUUCUUUAAUGCACUUUUCAGUUAACAAGUCAACAUCAAUUUCUUUUGCUGUAAAAAAGCUUGAGGAAGGUGGCUUGAGAUUCGUCUUAAGUGUUUAUAGCCUCUUGCCUAUGCAGUCGGAGAGAUUGAGGUCUGCAGCGUAGAUCCUUCGGGGCUAAAUGCAUUUGUGCUAAGUUAUAGCAUUUUAUAGACAACUUGUUGACUAUGAUUUGUCUUGUAGCUUACUCGCUUAUGUUAUUUUACCUACGCUUAGGAUGUUGAGCGCAUGUCUCUCUCU